rnacentral:sRNA from 1 species
AAGAUCAUUUGGGUCGGCUGAUAAAGG